UUGUUGCAGUUAAAAAGCUCGUAGUUGGAUUUCUGGUAGGAGCGGCCGGUCCGCCCCGUAAUGGGGUGUGCACUAGAGCCGCCUCCGGCCAUCCUUGGGGGAACUGCCAUGGCCUUAAUUGGUUGUGGUAUGGAACCCAUCGUUUACUGUGAAAAAAUUAGAGUGUUUAAAGCAGGCUUAGGCCGUUGAAUACAUUAGCAUGGAAUAAUAAGAUAGGACCUUAUGGACCUCUUGUUGGUUUGCGCCGUAAGGUAAUGAUUAAUAGGGAUAGUUGGGGGUAUUCGUAUUUAAUUGUCAGAGGUGAAAUUCUUGGAUUUAUGAAAGACGAACUUCUGCGAAAGCAUUUACCAAGGAUGUUUUCAUUAAUCAAGAACGAAAGUUAGGGGAUCGAAGAUGAUUAGAUACCAUCGUAGUCUUAACCAUAAACUAUGCCGACUAGGGAUUGGCGGUCGUUAAUUUUAUGACUCCGUC
rnacentral:rRNA from 1 species